UCUAAAUUGGGGUUUUUUACUUUAGAUUGGGUUGCCGGACGGGUAAUAACCGUAAAGAACUUUGCCUCACAGCUAGGGCCAACCAUUGAAACCGAAUGCUUAAUACCUGAUAUUAUGAUUUUUAAGGCAUCUUUAGAAUUAUGAAGCUAUAUGCGCUGUGAGAGAGCUUUGCGUCCCCAUUAGCUAGUUGGAGAGGUAACGGCUCACCAAGGCGAUGAUGGGUAGCCGGCCUGAGAGGGUGAACGGCCACAAGGGGACUGAGACACGGCCCUUACUCCUACGGGAGGCAGCAGUGGGGAAUAUUGGACAAUGGACCAAGAGUCUGAUCCAGCAAUUCUGUGUGCACGAUGACGUUUUUCGGAAUGUAAAGUGCUUUCAGUUGGGAAGAAAAAAAUGUACGGUACCACAGAAGAAG
rnacentral:rRNA from 1 species